UGUGGGAGGAGCAGGGCCUCGCUCUCACUCGCACGCACUCGUCUCACUGUACGGCAGGGAGGAUUAAAACAUGGCAGGCGGCAGCAGCAGGCAGUUCGAUGCACCGUAAACUGUGUGCCCUUUACUGUGCCAUCUGGGUGCUUGUUUAAAACGAAGAUCGAGCAUCAUGUGAAAUUGUCCACAGAAGCCAGCCAGAACCAGCGGUAUGGCCCACCGUGAGAACAACCCUUUCCUGCCAGAGGGCACUGAUACACUCAGUAAUCUCAGGCCUGUGAAGUCGAAUGAGGAGCGGAGGUGUCUUGCGGCUUGAGUCUCUUUGCAGUUGGAAGGGAUUCAUAGAUAUAGGGAUGCCUACUGUGGGUUUCCAUUGACAGACCAUCUCUUUCAACCAGGGGCAAUCCCUACCUUCCAGACUCUGCUACCUCUCCAUCUCCCAUGAGAGAGCUUUCUCUUUUUGCAAAACGGUUGAAGCCGGAGAGGAUGGUCGUGCUGAAAACUCUGGGAAUCCAGAGAUCAACUGAUGUCUCAUGGAAAAGCUUCCUCUAAAUACAUAGUAAGAAGAAAUUUUCCAUUGAUAACACUAUCCCCAGUCAGUUGGUGUCAGCCAUGACCAAGGGAGCUGGCAGAGAGAGCAGGAAGGCCCCCAUGCUAUGUGCAAGCACCCUAAGCACCAAGUCCUGCCUGUAGCAUUCACAGUGACUUCAAAGGGAGCUGUAUCUGAGUAAGGCGAAUGGGAUUUGGCUUCAUACCAAAAGUCAGACCUCAGGGAAAAGUCAGAAUAGAUGCUUGUGUAGGCUAGUCCCAAAAUAUUGCCUGAGAGAGUCCUAAGGGUUACUAUGCUAGAGGGUUGCAGCUUUUACUGCUCCCCAGGCCGAGCUCACUGGACACGCCAGGCUGCAGAGUCCUCCGUGCUGUACCCAAAGUUCCCUUUUGUGCCAACUUCUCUCUCCACAGUUUCAGGAACUGACUGUAUUUCCAGCUCCCCCAUCUGCAUCUGCCAGUGCCUCUAUGGGUAUCCCUCCCUCUCCCCAUCAUGGGUCCCAGGUUACCCCCUGCCAGAGCUCCAUAUGCCUUCCAUUUCCCUCCUGCCUAUGCUGUUGUCCUCACUGCCCGGGGAUGUGCACCUCUCUGUUUCCUGUUUCUCCCAAUGGCUCAUUUGCUAUUACCAGGGGUCCCAUCCCCUCUUACCCCUUAAAUUGGCAGCUCUGCCAUACUCUCCUGCCCUGCCAGGUGUUUUCUGUGUCCUCGCUCCACUGACCUCCCCACUCUUCUUCUUUCUUUUCCUUCUGCCUGAAAGGUCGGUCAUCCGAGGGAGCAGCAUUUUCAGUGGUGUUGGGACCAGGUGCAGAACUGCGAUAGGGGUGCCGUGCUGAAGCUCCUGUCAGCUGGUUGUUCACCUUAUCAGCUCUUACAGAGGUGGCCAAAGCUAUUGAGUGUGCUAACCAGAUGCAAGGGGCUCCACUUGUCCUCAGUGUACCUGUUGCAGGUUUUCCCAUAUCAGCAUCCUGCCCAUUGCUAUCUAGAAGGUGUUAAGAAAUUAAGGCAUUUCUCUAUGCGUAAUGCAAUUAAACUAGACUCUGCGUGUAUGCCUAGCCAACUCUGUGGGUUGCUAGUGUGGAACCAGGGCCCCCGGCCGUCCUCAUCCACUUUUUCCUGGCUAGGAGAGCUGCAAUACAGGAAAUGCAGCUACAGUUAUAUAAGUUGACAGAACUAGAAGCAAUGAUCUCAAGUUGCAGCAAAGGAAGUUUAGGAUAGAUGUUAGGAAGAAUUUUUUCACUAGGAAGGUAGUAAAACACUGGAACAAGUUACCCAGAGAGGUGGUGGUAGCAUCAUCCCUGGGGGUUAAGACCUGGCUAGACAAAGCCUUGUCUGGGAUGAUGUAGUUGGGGAUGACCCUGCUUUGAGCAGGGACUAGAUGUGACCUCCUGAGGUCCCUUCCAACCCUCAUCUUCUACGAUCUAUGCUUCUGCGAAAUCGGAAGGAUCUUAGCCCUCCUGGAGCCAUUUUGGGACCCAGUAAAACCUGGCUCUAAGCGUGGUACAAAAAAGGAACCAACAACCUUAAUGAUGAAAAGUGAAACAUUGAUUUCCUUUACAGCGGUUCAAAGGCUUUGUUUUGAUGACCUUGAGCUGGCAAGAAUAUGUUAAAAAAUAUAAAAGGCAGGUGCUCCUCUGCACUGUUCAGUUUGGGGGAUGAGAAGCAGAGGGGCAAGAAAAUGACUGCAGAAGCUGUGUAUGGGGAAUUGCUGGGGAAGCACAGCUUCUCUAAAUGUCCAGAAAAUGUUCAGAUGAUUUGUUUCCGGACUCACGUCCAUCCUCAAGGUGGUUUUGUCUCUCAACUACGCUGUCUGAUGGGACCGCGGCAAGCGGCAGCGGUUGGGCAGGGUGCAACGACGAAGGGCAGUGGUGUCAGCUGCAUUUUGAUGGAGGUGAAAGUAAAGAAAAUCAUCCUCUUUGGAUCUGUCCUCUGGAGAUGUGCGUGUGUAAUAAACCUGGUGUUUAUGGCUGUGGCUUCUGUGCCAAAACCAAUGAUUUAGAAUAACAUGUUUCCCUGUAAGAAAGUCCUGGACUGUCACUCAGUUUUGCUCACUAUAAUGACUUGUUACAAAUGCAACUUGCUAGCUCCAGUGUUAGAUUUCAUAACUGAUUUUAUUCAAGCUGACUUAAGGAAAUCUGAGAAGCAGUUUUCUGAGAGCAAACCCUAAAAAUCUGUAUGACCUGGCAGCCAGACUCUUUAAAUACCGUGUUUAGGUUGUGAAUAAAGCAGCGAAACAGGAGGGGAAUUUAUUUUGCCAUAGUAAUCGUAGAGAGCACUCAAAAACAAUAGUAGUUUCAACAUUUUUGGAUGCAGGUGGAUGUUCAAAUUGACAGCAUCCAAGUUUUGUGAAUCUUUCCUGUGCCUCCUAUGGGCAUAGCACACUAGAGGGAACUCUUCCCCACUUUAUCCCGUACUGGAAGCUUCCCAAACCCCGAUGUCUUCAGUUUCUGCACUGAAAGUACAGAUGGGCCAUGAUUUGCCCUAAGUAAUUAUUGCAGGCAAAACCUUAUUAAAAGAAUAGAAUGCACUUGUUUUUAAUGCAGCAUUUCAGUAAAAACCAGGGGCACUAUCUUGUGGUGCUGGAGAAGAAAUGAAUAAUUAAUUACUCUGUAAAAUAAGGGAUGGAUGGUUGAGAUGUGGCAUCCUUUAGCUGUGCUGCAAGAAGCCACAGAUUAGUAUCUGUCCUCCCAGACUUUUCCCCAUGUAGGUUAUUACUAUAAUUUGUUGGGUUUUUUUCUCUUUUAAUGAACAAGCUAAAAUUAAGUUAGAAUUGUCUUAAGUUCCUAUGUUGGUAAAUUUUCAAAGGGGAAAAAUUGGCCUUGGAUUUUCUUUUCAGACGGGAAAAAUAAGGCCUGAAAGCUCUCUUCCUUUCCAGUCUCUGCAAGCCAAAACAAAUAAUUAAAAGGUGGGAAUUUUUGAAGUUCAGGUUUUGCCUAUUUUGACCAACUUGAUCCCUGGUAGAUCAAGACAUCAAAUACCAACAAGGUAACAUCUAAUAGGAAGUUGUUACUGACUUAUGAAUGCCCAUUUAGCUAAGAUACUUUGGAAAUAAGUUCUUUGUUGAAAACCUCCCAAACCUUUCAACUACUUCCUUCCAACUCGUCCAACAAUAGACAGCUUAAAAAAAAUUGGAAGACCUAUGUACAUGAAGAAGGCAGUAAAGAUGCAUCAUACAGAAAGGUUCUUAAAAGUUGCCCUAUGCAACUGCCUUCAUCUGUAUUUGGCAGACAUGAGCCUGAUUGACUAGAUAAGUUUGAGAGAACUUACUUUAUACCAUCAUAGUUAAAAGAAGUAAUUGCAGAAGUGCCCUGAUUUGAAGGGAUGAAGUACUGGUGUUGAGGGGAAUGCCUCGCAGGAGGAGACAGCAGCUGUUGGUAACCACUUCUGUUCCAGGAUGGUAAAGAAACCAAGUCACACCCUAACAUACAGAUAAAUAGUUUCUUCUCUUAACAAACUGACAGCUGCCCAGCAGAAGAGCAGUGGUACUUUGAAUAAAGUGACAGUAACAUUUCCUGAUAGCCUCUGUAAUGGUAACAAGCUAUUGCCUGGAUAGCAAAAUAGAAGACUUAUUUUUUUGUUAAUAGAACAGGAAUGAAGAAGAGUUAGGGUGGCUCAAUGGAUAUUGCCCUGUGUAACUAAGAGUAAAAUGGUUGGGAAUGCACCGAGCAGCAGCUUUGAUGUCUAAAAUGAUGGUCCUGCUGUUCACAAAAGUUAUAGACUCUCUACAGUGGUGCCUAAAAACACAUUGCUAGUACAGUUAUCUAUCAGAAUGAGGAUUGACUUAUGCCAAGAACUAUGCUGGUAAGAGUUUCCUCAGGCUACCAGUGUUCAUUUAUGGGCAGUGUUAAUCCGCCAGCACGCAGGUAGUUGCUGUAAGAGAGUUCAUGGUUGCUCAUUCCAGGAAUGGCAACAUGAUACUUGAGUGUAGGAAAGCGGUGUGCAAGGAAGAUCGAUCACUAAAAGCCCUUCUGAAAAGGGAGUUCUGACAAUCAAGGCUUUCAGUCAUAACUAAAAGGUGUAUCAUGGUUUUGGUUUUUUUGCCAACUAGAUGCCACACUGGUUUGGUGUGGGGGGGAAUCACGCAAGAGAUCUGAGAAGUUUUUUAUGAAAAAAAAUUUAUUGCAAAACUCAGUGUUUUGUGACACUUCCAGGAGUUCACUAAAUAUAUUACAGAACAAACUAGCAAAUCCUGUUUUGAACACAUUAAAGCCUGCUUCUGGGUCUUUUGUGCGUGCACACAUACUCAUACGCUCGCCUGCUCUUGCUAUUACUGUAUGUACAGAAACUGGAACCUCCCUGUGCAGUCAGUCGCACACAUUUAAUCUGUAUUGGAAAUCCUCGUAAAAAGAGACAGUAGAACCUCGUUAAUCUGCAGAACAGGUAACGUACACACACUCAUCCAGAGAACCUGCAGCCUUGUCCACUUCUAAGCAAAGUGCUGUAGUGAGGUCUCUUAUUAUUAAGACUUCAUUAAUUUUUACAGUUAUUCUACAGAACACUGACCAGCAUGCUUGAAGUAUCAUAAUUUAAAAUUAGCUACACUUAAAAAAAUAAAUAAGUACAUGUUUGUUGCCAUAUUUGUUCUUUAGUUAUUCACAAAAAAAGUCUAGCAACCUACAAUGGGUCUUCCAGUCAUUGGUGCAACUUAGCGAGGUUCUGCUGUGUAUGAUAAAGUGCUGAAGGCAUAUAAAGGACACAGAGCUGCAGCAUGAUCAUGAUAGUUCUCAGGCAGUGACAAGGAAUUGCAAUAGCCACUUGUUGCAGGAGUGCCUGUUUCUUUUUGGACAUCUAAGACAAUUUAAAAAAACCCAAAAGCACCUUCCCAAAAAGAGAAUUUACAGAUUGUCCCACACUUCUAUGGCUGGUAAAA